GACGAACGCUGGCGGCGUGCUUAACACAUGCAAGUCGAACGGAAAGGCCCUGCUUGUGUGGGGUGCUCGAGUGGCGAACGGGUGAGUAACACGUGAGUAACCUGCCCUGGACUUUGGGAUAACUUCAGGAAACUGGGGCUAAUACCGGAUAGGAGCGCCUGCUGCAUGGUGGGGGUUGGAAAGUUUCGGCGGUUGGGGAUGGACUCCGGGCUUAUCAGCUUGUUGGUGGGGUAGUGGCUUACCAAGGCUUUGACGGGUAGCCGGCCUGAGAGGGUGACCGGCCACAUUGGGACUGAGAUACGGCCCAGACUCCUACGGGAGGCAGCAGUGGGGAAUAUUGCACAAUGGGCGGAAGCCUGAUGCAGCAACGCCGCGUGCGGGAUGACGGCCUUCGGGUUGUAAACCGCUUUCGCCUGUGACGAAGCGUGAGUGACGGUAAUGGGUAAAGAAGCACCGGCUAACUACGUG
rnacentral:rRNA from 1 species